rnacentral:rRNA from 1 species
AUUGAACGCUGGCGGCAUGCUUUACACAUGCAAGUCGAACGGUAACAGGGAGCUUGCUCCGCUGACGAGUGGCGAACGGGUGAGUAAUGCGUCGGAACGUGCCGAGUAGUGGGGGAUAACGCAUCGAAAGGUGUGCUAAUACCGCAUACGUACUGAGGUAGAAAGUGGGGGACCUUCGGGCCUCACGCUACUCGAGCGGCCGACGUCUGAUUAGCUAGUUGGUGAGGUAAAGGCUCACCAAGGCGACGAUCAGUAGCGGGUCUGAGAGGAUGAUCCGCCACACUGGGACUGAGACACGGCCCAGACUCCUACGGGAGGCAGCAGUGGGGAAUUUUGGACAAUGGGCGCAAGCCUGAUCCAGCCAUGCCGCGUGUCUGAAGAAGGCCUUCGGGUUGUAAAGGACUUUUGUCCGGGAGCAAAUGCUGGUGGCUAACAUCCACCGGAGCUGAGAGUACCGGAAGAAUAAGCACCGGCUAACUACGUGCCAGCAGCCGCGGUAAAAC